CGGAGGGUGCAAGCGUUAUCCGGAUUCACUGGGUUUAAAGGGUGCGUAGGAGGGCAGGUAAGUCAGUGGUGAAAUCCCCGAGCUUAACUUGGGAACUGCCGUUGAUACUAUCUGUCUUGAAUACCGUGGAGGUGAGCGGAAUAUGUCAUGUAGCGGUGAAAUGCUUAGAUAUGACAUAGAACACCAAUUGCGAAGGCAGCUCGCUACACGAAUAUUGACUCUGAGGCACGAAAGCGUGGGGAUCAAACAGGAUUAGAUACCCUGGUAGUCCACGCCCUAAACGAUGGAUACUCGACAUACGCGAUACACAGUGUGUGUCUGAGCGAAAGCAUUAAGUAUCCCACCUGGGAAGUACGACCGCAAGGUUG
rnacentral:rRNA from 1 species